rnacentral:pre_miRNA from 1 species
UGUAUGUAUGUGUGUAUGUUUGGUAUACAUUUGUAUGCCAUACAAAUAUAUACCAAACAUACACACAUACAUACA